UCCAUGCUCCAAGCAAAAAGAUAGACUUUGUGUGACAGUUGACUAUCAUUGACUUCUAUGAAAGGAAAAAAUGCUGAAGGAUGCCGAUGCCGAUGCCGAUGCCGAUGCCGUGCCGCCUUGUUCUUUAAGGCUGCAAGGCACAAGCUGUAUUCUAUCUGGAAGCAUGAUGACAACUUGCAUGUCUUUUUUAUUUUUCUUAAGCAGAACUCUUCCCCAGUUUACAGAUAGCCAACCAUUUCUUUAAUAUUUAUAAAUCCCUCUUAACUUCGCGAUUGUAUAUAUCAAGACCUAUUCCUUCUUGCAGAAGAACACAACUUAGAGACCAAGGAAAUGAGUGAUCCAAACAAGCAAGCAUCCAACAAGGGCCAUGGCUGCCCCUCCACAUCCUUUGCUGGCCUUCCACCGCCACGGUGGCCAAUCAAGAGGAAGAUUAUAGUGGAAGCACUCCAAUUCUAUUCAUCAAGCUCCUCGUCAUCGGAGAAAAAGGUUUAGGCUUUUUAAUGAUGGGAAGAAAAGGGGUUGUUUAUUGUUCUUUUUUUUUCCCUCUCUCAUGUGAUUACUCUUAUAUUGUACUAUGUAGAUAUCUGAUAUGCUAUAUGGAUGGUUUUGUAAAUAUUUCCUACUUGAUUAUGAUCCACUUUGAAUUUUUACUGCUAUUUAUUGAUUGCUUUGCUUUGUAUUGUUUAUAA